CGGUAUUCCCUAGGCCGUAAACCGAUGUCAACUAGGUGUAGGGGGUAUCCCAACCCCCCCCUGUGGCUGUAGGCUAACGCGUUAAGUUGACCCGCCUGGGGACUACGGCCGCAAGGCUAAAACUCCAAAGGAAUUGACGGGGACCCGCACAAGCCAGCGGAGCGUGUGGUUUAAUUCGAGGCUACGCGAAGAACCUUACCAGGGUUUGACAUGGCGGUGGUAGGAAGGUGAAAGCCGACCGACCCUUCGGGGAGCCGUCACAGGUGCUGCAUGGCUGUCGUCAGCUCGUGCCGUGAGGUGUUAGGUUAAGUCCUGUAACGAGCGCAACCCUCGUCGUUAGUUAUACGUGUCUAACGAGACUGCCGGUGAUAAGCCGGAGGAAGGUGGGGAUGACGUCAAGUCAGCAUGGCCUUUAUAUCCUGGGCUACACACACGCUACAAUGGCCGGUACAAUGGGUUGCCAAGCCGCGAGGCGGAGCCAAU
rnacentral:rRNA from 1 species